rnacentral:lncRNA from 1 species
UUAAAUGAUUUAUGUUUAAUUAAAUAAUUACAUAACAAUGCAUAUUAUUAUUUUUUUAAAUUCAUGGUCCCUAGUAUAUGUAAACACUUUAUCAGAAUGACCAACUUUUUAGUGCUGGGAGUGACGAAGUAACACAAUAUUUUGUUAGAUUGAUCUCCACACAUUAUCCAAGGAGUCUUCAUCUAGUAUCUUCUAUUUGAUGAAAAAUGCUGAUGAUAAUUUAUAGCCAUCUUAACAAAUGACAGUCAAUACAAAUAACUUAUAAGUAAUUACAAUAUAUAUAUAGAUUUAAUAAAUUGUUCCUGGAUUGAAUGAUAGAAUUGAUGAUGACAAGGCUGAACAGUUAAUACAGAAUAACUAAUAAACUUUCAAUUUAAUUUUCCUAAUGGAUUUGUGUGAAAUCCAACAAUAUUCUUCGUCCCUUUCUGUAGUCCACUAUGGCAAAGUGAUCCUCUGUAGAAACUGAGACUUAGCUUCAUAUGCUUCCCUACAACGUGGAAGAUCCUCAAUGGCUUUGAAUGUGUUUUAAUAAAAUGACGACCUUGUCAAAUUGUAGAAUAAAAACUGUAGAUUGUGUCUCUUUUUUUAUAGGAUGGACAAUAUAAACAAAGCACGUAACUACUUAUACAACAUGACGUCACUAUUACAAACGUGGUAGAAGUGAAACAUCAGUCAUAAACACGUUAUGGUAUAACCUUGUAUUUCUAUUAACCUUGGGGUGAAGGAGAGUCUGGGUUAGAAACCGAUUUAAGGUAGACGAAAUUGAUGUUGGUAGAAGGCUUGAAGAGUGCUCCAUUUGUUCCUUAAGAAACUUUGUCCUCUUGUUAUCACAAUUGAUCAGAGGAGCUAAUUUUCUUUCUAUAUAUUAUUUCCUUUCUUUUUUUAGAAGAGCUUCUUCAAAUAAAUAAUUUUCAGGGAUAGAAAUGGUUAAUUCCAUGGAUGAAAUGCGAUUCAUGAACAAUUUAAUUUCUCUAAUCUUGGACCACUCUUCAUUCUUACAAUUCCAUAAUGAUCAGAGGAGAACAUCAAUACAUUUUGGAUCCUAACAUAAUCUCCAGGAAUCAAAAGGGUUCGAUUUGUAGAUGUGUAAUAGUAGUAUUUUUUGGAUGAGAGGUCUUUCUCUCUCUUCUUCUCUUUCACCCCCUCAAAGUUGGAGGCAUUAUGAGAGUGUAGACAAUGGGCAAUGCUGGAAGCCGAGUUCUUUUUGAGUCGCCAAAUACUAAUCAAGCUGGACUGAGUCCAUCAGAUCUGUUGUAUUUCUCCAUUCCAGUUGUGAUGAACGAAAUGAAGCCAGUCAUUAGAUUUAUUGAGGAUCUUCUUCAUGGAUUUGACGACAGCCUCUGCAUACACGUUGGAUUGGGGCAGUAUGGGAUGCAAGCUCCAGUUUAAUCCUAAAUCUAUGCAGAAGAUCAAGAAUUCUGUCUGGAAUGGUGGUCCACCAUCAGUUCGAAUAUGCAUUGGAAGCCCCAAUCUUCAAACCAUGUCAACCUGAUAUCAGUGACUGACUCAUUAAGGGCCACCAUCAAUAGUUGUCCACAAAUACAAGAUACAUUUUUUUGUUGACCUCCAUUAUGUCGGAAGGCACGGUUUCUAAGGGCCUUGACGCUGAAGAUUAUUGCAGUGAUUCUAAAGGUAAUGAGGGAUCUAGAUUUUGGCAUCAUAAAGCAAAUGGAAUUAGAGACUAUAGACGAAUGAUCUUUAAGUCAUAAAGAAUUGUCAGUAAAAAUGAUGGACUACUUGAAAUGGAACCCGACGACUGGAUAGUAAAUUUAAUGUUGUGUGGUGUUCGGGAUGAAGAUAUCAGAUAAAAACAUUGAGUUGUCGAUAAAUGAAUGACCACUCCCUCUUUUAGGUUUCUAUUUAAGUUAUGAGGAGCCUAUUACCCCAUCUCAUGUAUGUCUCACUCGAACACAAGGAACACUUCCUGAAUUAUGUAGUAAAAUUGUAAAUUUAAAAAUUAGUUAUAUAUAUGGAAGUCGUCUUCGUGACCAUUUUUGGAAACGAUGGUCCUGGCACUAGGUGCAACAGCUACAAGUCCGAGAUAAAUGGAAGGAUUGCGUCGACAGUGAACGCCAAACACAAAAACACAACCACAAAACAUUGUGUUAUACUAGAUAUGUCAAACCCGCGUUUCUAAAAAAGCAAGUAACAAAAUUCGAACAAUCCGAAAGAAUUCGUAAUAGCAGCCUAAAAGAGUUGGCAUGGGUAAAAACUUACGUUAAGACUUUAGAUACUCAGAGGAAUCAGAACCAAGAGGACCAAGAGUACGACUUGAACUUGAAAAGGUGGACUGAAAUACAGCUCGGAAUGUUGGAUUUAAUGGAUCAUUACUUUUAAAAAAUAUAUAUAUUUAGAAUUAAAAAAUUGUAUAAUUUAGAUAAAAAUUGAUUUUGAAUAUUGCCAGAAAACCUAUGAAAGGCAUAAAAGAUAAAUAUGACAGAAUAAAAAGGCAAAAUAGUUACUGAUAUAGUUUAAUACACAUUUUAAAAUUUAAAUUUAUCCUUGUCGUUUAUCAAUAUAUUUACGCUGUGUGAAUGA